rnacentral:pre_miRNA from 1 species
ACUGGGAUAGCUGGGUCAAAUAGUGGUUCCAUUUACAGUUUUCUGAGAAAUCUCCAUACUGCUUUCCAUAGUGGUUGCACCAAUUUGCAGUCCCACAAGCAAU